CCUACGGGAGGCAGCAGUGGGGAAUAUUGCACAAUGGGCGAAAGCCUGAUGCAGCGACGCCGCGUGAGGGAUGAAGGCCUUCGGGUUGUAAACCUCUUUCAGCAGGGACGAAGCGCAAGUGACGGUACCUGCAGAAGAAGCACCGGCCAACUACGUGCCAGCAGCCGCGGUAAUACGUAGGGUGCAAGCGUUGUCCGGAAUUAUUGGGCGUAAAGAGCUCGUAGGCGGUCUGUCGCGUCAGCUGUGAAAACCUGGGGCUCAACCCCGGGCCUGCAGCCGAUACGGGCAGACUAGAAUUCGGUAGGGGAGACUGGAAUUCCUGGUGUAGCGGUGAAAUGCGCAGAUAUCAGGAGGAACACCGGUGGCGAAGGCGGGUCUCUGGGCCGAUAUUGACGCUGAGGAGCGAAAGCGUGGGGAGCAAACAGGAUUAGAUACCCCAGUAGUC
rnacentral:rRNA from 1 species